CAACCGCUGCUGUUCAGGAUGGUGAGCUGGGUGGACAGAGAUGGGCACUUAGACAGUGCCUGGCACCCACUGAGCACCACACAAGUCCUUGACACCGGUGGGAUUAUUUCCAAAUUGGUUCUCUAGAUUUUACACAUGGAGGCAGCAAGGUAUGGAGUUGCUAGGAGCAGGGACCUGAUAAGCCCUCCCUAGGGCCUCAGUACCAGAAGGUGGAAGAAGAUGGAAGUGGACUAGAGGAAGGAGAAGUCAAAAGAAGAUGCCCUUUGGGAUGUUGCAAACUUGUAAGGAUUUUGCUGACACAGUCCUUUCUGCACGUCUCCUCAGUGUAUCUAGUGCCAGCUGUGAUGAGUCUGAAGCCAGCUUUGAAGAGAAAAUGAAAAGCAGUUGAAAUUAGCCAGUGGAAUCCAGUCUGGAGUUCUAUUUUUAUUCCUUCCCUGUUGAGGCCAGGGGUAGAAAGUUUGAUUCAAAUGCCUGAUGUGUUUCUCCUGCCUUGCCUUUAAUUGGUUUUGUCGGCUUCAUUUGAUUUUGUUUUGAUUGGAGUCCUGCUGCAUAGUCUGGGCUUUCUCUUCAUAUGAUGCAAUGUGCCAAAGAUGGAGUUAUCCUGACUACAUCCACUGCCUAAUGGGCCAGAUAUUCCCUCCUUUGCCUCAAUUUACAUUAUAGCCACAUCUGGCAGACUGUAUAACAUCCCAUUUUGCUUAUUGCAGUAGGGGGUGUAAGCAUUUUGAAAGCCGAAACAAAAAUACAAAUGUAAAUUGUUACUAUAGGUAAUAAUACAUAGUUCUUAGGGAAAGUUUAUGUAGCUAUUUGCUGGUAAGUUACCAGCAGAUCCGGGUUUUGUUGUUUUUUUUUGUGGUGUGUAAUUAGAUGGCUAUAGGUGUCAUUAUAAAAUGGCACCUCUAGUUUUUGGUGGUUUGAUACAUCUGUAGUUUUAAUAUAGUUCUUCUUCUUUAGUACAUGGUCCCAGAUGAAGACCAGCUUUGAUUUUUCUGUUUUCCAGAUUAAGAUAUGACAUGCCACCUUAAUCAACUCCAUAUAGCAGAAAUAAUCUUUUUUCUUAAAGUGUUACUAAGUUGACAGGUUGGAAUGAACUAUUUUGUAUUCUGUUUAAAGAUUAAAGACUUCACCGUGCUUUGAGGAGUGGGAGUUGAGAGAGUAGCCAUUUCUAAAGUACAUCAGGCCAUGCUGUUACAGCUGAUUGUAACAUGCAGGGUUGUGGAGAACAUGUUUGUGUGGCAACCAAAUUAUUGUCCUUUCAGUGUAAUCCUACUGAAAAGAGUAUUUGGGCCAGCAAGAUGGUUCAGUGGGUAAAAGCUUUAUUUUUUUCAAGGAUCUAUGUAACUAUUUUUUCAGUUGAAUUCCUUAAGAUCUGACCAUAGGUAACAACUAAUAUGGUAACGAAUGCAGUGGUCCCUUACUUAUUAUAUGAACAAAUGGAGAGAGCUUUUGUCUGUCUUAUUUUAAGUAUUAUGACUUACAGUCAGAGGGGCACUACCAUGAGAACCUUGAUGGCCACAAAAGAAAAUCAUGAGCAAGCCCUCAACAAUGGGAAGGCUAAAGCCAGAAAACCAUGUGGACCAGUAAAUAGCCCGUAGUUAUAUAGGAAAACAUGAGGACAUGAUAUGUUUAGGGAACCCCACAUUUCUAUAAGAUAUCUCAAGUUUUUAUUCUACCUCUUGUCUUAUUAAUACAAUAAGAUUUCUAAAAUCAAACAAACUAAACACCACAGAAAGGAUGUAGAAAAAAAUCAAAACCCCCAAAGAUUUUAUGUAUCUGGGUCCAUUUUUGCUUUCAUCUUUGUUCUUCUUCAUUAUGAGAAGAAAGGGAAGAAGAGAGAAGCACAGUCAGUCUUCAUCAAGAUUCAUUGUCAGAUGAAAUUAGGAAAGAUUUGGCACUGGAGAUGUAGUUCAUUGGUUAGAGCACUUGCCUGGCAUGCAGGAGACCCUGGCUUUGGUCCUGAGUAAACCACCUAUCCCACCCCUGACACACACAAAGUUUUACAGGAAUCCCAUCUCCUAUUUCUUUCAAAAAAAGUAAAAUCCAAAUAAAACCAAAGGAGCUAUGUGAGUGUUUAUAGACACUUAUCUGUGUGGAUGAAGACAGGGCACCCCAGGUAGCCAGUCGCCAGAGAUAAUUGCAACAGAGAUCUGGAAACUGCUGCUGCCACCUCUGGUGGUGGGAUCCCAGCAGCUUGCAGAAUCAGGAAAGGACACACAAGGAGACCAUUGUCGGCCUUGUAUUAGGACUUUCCAUCCCGGGAACAAACAGCUGUCCUCAUAGAUAGAGCUGUCUUUGUCAUCCUGUCCAUCUGUGCUCAGAUUGAAAACAUGUAACUCACAAGAUGAGGUUUGGUUGCUGAGCCUUAAAGAGGGAAGGUUUCUUAAGAAGGCACGGUGAGUGCCUGAAAAAGUAGGCAGUGAGUUUGAGUAUAAUCAAGAGAUUUUUCUAACUCAGGUGCCUAAAAAAAAAAAAAAAAAAAAAGUUGGGACCUGCUGUCGUUGUUUAUCUUAGAAGUCACUACAAUUUUUUGUCCCUAGCUACUUCCAAACACAUCAGGGUUGAAAGUGGAGAAGUCCUGUUUUUUCAAGUUUGUAGAAGUUGGAAAGAGAUCCUCAAAUGGUUCAAGAAUAUAGCUAUCCCCUUUAGAGUUACUUUAGAUCCUCCAACCAAGUCUGAAAGGCAUGCAGGAAUCCAGGCAACCAAGAAGCUAGACAAGAUUUCUCCGGUUUUCCAGCUACUGCUGUUACCUCCUUCACACACACACACAC